rnacentral:rRNA from 1 species
UACGAAGGGGGCUAGCGUUGCUCGGAAUCACUGGGCGUAAAGCGCACGUAGGCGGACUCUUAAGUCGGUGGUGAAAUCCUGGAGCUCAACUCCAGAACUGCCUUCGAUACUGGGAGUCUCGAGUCCGGGAGAGGUGAGUGGAACUGCGAGUGUAGAGGUGAAAUUCGUAGAUAUUCGCAAGAACACCAGUGGCGAAGGCGGCUCACUGGCCCGGUACUGACGCUGAGGUGCGAAAGCGUGGGUAGCAAACGGG